GAUGAACGCUGGCGGCGUGCCUAAUACAUGCAAGUCGAGCGAACGGACGAGAAGCUUGCUUCUCUGAUGUUAGCGGCGGACGGGUGAGUAACACGUGGAUAACCUACCUAUAAGACUGGGAUAACUUCGGGAAACCGGAGCUAAUACCGGAUAAUAUUUUGAACCGCAUGGUUCAAAAGUGAAGGACGGUCUUGCUGUCACUUAUAGAUGGAUCCGCGCUGCAUUAGCUAGUUGGUAAGGUAACGGCUUACCAAGGCAACGAUGCAUAGCCGACCUGAGAGGGUGAUCGGCCACACUGGAACUGAGACACGGUCCAGACUCCUACGGGAGGCAGCAGUAGGGAAUCUUCCGCAAUGGGCGAAAGCCUGACGGAGCAACGCCGCGUGAGUGAUGAAGGUCUUCGGAUCGUAAAACUCUGUUAUUAGGGAAGAACAUAUGUGUAAGUAACUGUGCACAUCUUGACGGUACCUAAUCAGAAAGCCACGGCUAACUACGUGCCAGCAGCCGCGGUAAUACGUAGGUGGCAAGCGUUAUCCGGAAUUAUUGGGCGUAAAGCGCGCGUAGGCGGUUUUUUAAGUCUGAUGUGAAAGCCCACGGCUCAACCGUGGAGGGUCAUUGGAAACUGGAAAACUUGAGUGCAGAAGAGGAAAGUGGAAUUCCAUGUGUAGCGGUGAAAUGCGCAGAGAUAUGGAGGAACACCAGUGGCGAAGGCGACUUUCUGGUCUGUAACUGACGCUGAUGUGCGAAAGCGUGGGGAUCAAACAGGAUUAGAUACCCUGGUAGUCCACGCCGUAAACGAUGAGUGCUAAGUGUUAGGGGGUUUCCGCCCCUUAGUGCUGCAGCUAACGCAUUAAGCACUCCGCCUGGGGAGUACGACCGCAAGGUUGAAACUCAAAGGAAUUGACGGAGACCCGCACAAGCGGUGGAGCAUGUGGUUUAAUUCGAAGCAAUGCGAAGAACCUUACCAAAUCUUGACAUCCUUUGACAACUCUAGAGAUAGAGCCUUCCCCUUCGGGGGACAAAGUGACAGGUGGUGCAUGGUUGUCGUCAGCUCGUGUCGUGAGAUGUUGGGUUAAGUCCCGCAACGAGCGCAACCCUUAAGCUUAGUUGCCAUCAUUAAGUUGGGCACUCUAAGUUGACUGCCGGUGACAAACCGGAGGAAGGUGGGGAUGACGUCAAAUCAUCAUGCCCCUUAUGAUUUGGGCUACACACGUGCUACAAUGGACAAUACAAAGGGCAGCGAAACCGCGAGGUCAAGCAAAUCCCAUAAAGUUGUUCUCAGUUCGGAUUGUAGUCUGCAACUCGACUACAUGAAGCUGGAAUCGCUAGUAAUCGUAGAUCAGCAUGCUACGGUGAAUACGUUCCCGGGUCU
rnacentral:rRNA from 1 species